AGUGUCAAGGGAUAGGAAUCAAACCCACGACCUUCCGCUUACCGGGCAGAUGCCAUGACCACUAGGCCACAUGACC
rnacentral:tRNA from 1 species